UCUACGGGAAGCAGCAGGCAAGGGAAUCUUCCGGCGAAUGGGGCAACCUGACGGAGCACACAGCGUGGGGGAUUGACGCCGUCGGGGGUGUAAACCCAUUUUCUGCGGGAAGAAGGUGGGGGCAACCACUUGACGGUACCGCAGGAGAAGGACCGGCUAACUACGUGCCAGCAGCCGCGGUAAUACGUAGGGUCCGAGCGUGUCCGGAGUUACUGGGCGUAAAGCGCGCGUAGGCGGCGGUGCUGGCCCGGCGUGAAAGCCCCCGGCUCAACCGGGGAGGGUCGUCGGGGACCGCACCGCUUGAGGGCGGUAGGGGCUGGUGGAAUGCCUGGUGUAGUGGUGAAAUGCGUAGAGAUCAGGCGGAACACCCGUGGCGAAGGCGGCCAGCUGGGCCGUCCCUGACGCUGAGGCGCGAAGGCGUGGGGAGCGAACGGGAUUAGAUACCCCGGUAGUCCACGCAGUAAACGAUGCCGACUAGGCGUGGGGGGAGUUGACCCCCUCCGUGCCGGAGCCAACGCGGGAAGUCGGCCGCCUGGGGAGUACGGCCGCAAGGCUAAAACUCAAAGGAAUUGACGGGGGCCCGCACAAGCGGCGGAGCGUGCGGUUUAAUUCGACGCGACGCGUAGAACCUUACCAAGGCUUGACAUGCGCCUGCAUCCCCGGGAAACCGGGUGGCCUUCGAGGGUGGCGCACAGGUGCUGCAUGGCUGUCGUCAGCUCGUGCCGUGAGGUGUUGGGUUAAGCCCCGCAACGAGCGCAACCCCUGUGGGUAGUUAACUGCUCUACCCAGACUGCCGGUCGCAAACCGGAGGAAGGUGGGGAUGACGUCAAGUCAGCAUGGCCCUUACGUCUUGGGCGACACGCACGCUACAAUGGCCGGGACAGCGGGUCGCCAAGCCGCGAGGCGGAGCGAAUCCCCCAAACCCGGUCUCAGUUCGGAUCGUGGGCUGCAACCCGCCCACGUGAAGCUGGAGUCGCUAGUAACCGCGGGUCAGCACUACCGCGGUGAAUACGUUCCCGGG
rnacentral:rRNA from 1 species